AAAUAUUUUAAAACCGGAAUCGUCCUUGCAAUUUGCAUGCAAGAACGAUAUCAGGUUAGUUUCCAUAGAGUUUAUAAAACAAUUUUGUUCAUGAAAAUUAAUAAUGGAAACCUGUGUAUUAUAUUUUAACCAUGUCACUAACCCACUAAACUUACAAUGGCAAGGGAAAAUUGUAUUCGUAAAAUACAUAUAUUUAAGAUUAGGCAUAGAUGUGAAUGCAUGUUCAUUCAAUUCUUGAAUGUUCUGGUUUUCAAUUAGUAGAAAUUCCAAGGACUUCAAAUCACAAAAGAUUGCAGGUGAAUCAAACUUAUUUAAUCCAGAGUUUUUCAAGUGCAAGACUUUUACAUUUGACAGUCCAUUAAAUACCUCAUACAUGUUUAUUGACGAUCUUCCUAUUAAUUUAUCAGUAUUUUCUAUACGAAGAAAUUUUAGUUUCUUUAAAUAUUGCAAUGAUGAAUUAAGUGUAACUAUUUCUGUGGAAUACUGAGAAUUGGCAUCAUAGG